GACGCCUGGUGGAUCCAACUCCCAUGGUUACAGUUCACCAAACGAAUCCAAAGAUAAGGUGGACUCAGUCUCCUUGACUUCAAGAAGUGGAACUGGUUCAUUCAACAAACACUCUUGACAUUGAUGUCAGUGACAAGAGUGAAAUUUCCUUCAGUCAAGUCAUAUUCAUUGCAUUUUCUAUGCCUGUUCUUCCAUGAACUCAUGAGGAAUUACUAUUAUCAUUUAAAAAUUAGAUUUAAUUAACCAAAAUAUUUGCUGUGUGUUGUCAUGUGGCUGCCAUGGUGAUUACAGAAAUCAGAGAACAACUUCUAGGAUUUGGAUCCCUUCUCCCACCAUGUAUGUUCUAGGAACUGGACUCCAUGGACCUAUCUUGCCAGUCCAAGAUAUAUACACACACAUAUUUUUCCCAGUGCUGGGGAUAGAACAUAGGACCUUGGGAAUACCAGGCAAAAACUGUAACACUGAGCUACACUCUAACAAGCACUUUGUGACUUCUAUUAAUAAUGCUAAUCAGGAUAUUGUUACUUAUUUUCUACAAGUCAUAUGCCGGUAACCAUAGCUGCUUCAGGUUCAUGACUAUAACAACUAUCUUAAGUCCAGAAUAAAACAUUCCUCCCUGUUCUCUGGCUCUUAUGUUUCCCAAUUCAGAUUGUCUUCAGUGUUCUCUAUGCUUGGGACAUGUUAUAGAUGCCCCACUUAGGUUUGAGCAUGCACAGUGUUCUAUUCUUGGCACUUUGAGCAAGUCUAAGUUUCUGCACUAAUUGAUGUUCAUGCAUAAAGAAGCUUCUCUCACUUGUUGCUGCUCUAGCUGGCAGCAUGAACCUGGGAGAGCUGGGCCUAAAAAUGAGGCAGACUACAGUCUUGUGCAAUAAUCCACUUUACUCAGAGAAUCAGGCAAUUUAUACUCCGAGGCCUAAGAAAAAUCACAUGAGUAAGGUGUUCAAUCACAAGGACAAGUCCCAAGUGACAAAAAUACAUUUUUCCAUAGAGGCUAAUGAAUAACAACACAUGAAGUAAACUCACUCCUAUCUGCUACCACUAGGGGGAGCAUGGAAACACAUUCCCAGAACAUUUUUGUGUUUUGAUGAAAAUGAGGUCACAAGGCUCUUGUUCUGUUUUCUUAUGAGCCUCAGCAUUCUCACACAACUCUGUUUCUUGACUAUGUUCCACCACUAACCGGGCUUGAGAGUAGCACAGAUAUAUGGGUAUAAACACUAAUAUUUUGAAGGCUGUUUGAUAACAUGACAAUUUAGCAAUGGUCUCUUCCUUCUUGAUCAAACAGAAACAAGGCAAAUUAUAUAAGUAUUGAUGCCAUGUAAUGAUGCAGUUAAACUCAAUAUAAAGUUGUGCUUUCUAUUUUAUAUAGUUAUUUUUAUUUGUGUGUAUGUCUCUCUUCCACAUCUGUAUGUGGCUAAGGUGGCCAGAAGACAGAGCUUGAGUUACAGGCAGUUGUGAGCAGCUGGCCCUGAGGGCUGGGAACCAAAGUUGUUCUCUUUGGAAGAACAUGAAAGUCUCUUAAGCAUCGAGAGCCUCCCUCACACCACAAGGUCACAGAAAAAACUGAGAAGCACAAUGUCAAUGAGGUGGAUUUGACAGAAAACCUGAACCUUGGUGCUGCAACUUCAGUUCUUCAAGCACUUGAUGAAAAGGCUAAAGACCAAGUGGAGAACCAAGUAGAGCAUGGAUUUCACCAGGAAGCUCCAGGGUUUUUGCCAUUUCUGUCUCCACAGGACUGAUUACUGAUUACAAGUGCACAUGACCACAUGUCUGUGAUGAAAACUUCCAAAGCAAUGAAUAAGGUAUGGAAAAAUUAAUUUAAAAUAGCCUAAUUAAAAUACAGUGUAAAACACAAGCCAAUACAUCAUUAAUUUAAAAAUAUAUUAUGAGAGUAAAAUUAAAAAACUGUAUUUUUAGUCAUAUGUAGACAUUUUGAAAAAGAUUAUUAAGGAAAAGUAACCCUGGGGUGGCUGAGGAGGAGGGCAGGGGAGGAGGAGAGGGAGAGUGAGGUGGGACUGACAUGUGAAAAAGUUGUUUCUAACUUAAAUACAAAAGGAAGAUGAGAAAAAAGAAAGAGUAACCAAUGUAAAGCUAUCUUUUCUAUGAAAUAUAUAUCUAUGUUUUUUGUUGUUUUUGAGGCAAGGUCUCACUGUGUAUCCUUGAUUGGCCUGAAACUCACUACUUAGACCAGACUAUCCUGGAACUCAUAGAUAUUCACCAGCUUCUUCUUCUUGAGAUUAAAAGUGUGCUUAACUACACCCAGAAUAUCUGUUUGGUAACAUAAAAAAUUGGAUACUACCCACAUCUUUAGUGUUUGGUAAAAAUAACCUAUAGACAUCUGAAAUUGCUGCUACUCAUUUUGUAGGUCAAAGAAGUAAUUAAUAAGUUUGGCCCUAAUGCAUUUGUCAAGCAUGAAAGAAUCUCAGAGGACUGUGAGAUGCUCAAUUUUGACAGGAUCUUGUCACUCAUAGAAGAGCUCAUGAAGCAGAGCAAAGGUAAGAGUGCUGCACAUGUGUGUUUGUGUGUGUGUGUGUGUGUGUGUGUGUGUGAUAGAGAUGAGUACACACUGCUUAGAGCUGCCCGAUAGGACAAGGGUGUAUUAGAGUAUUGUCAAUGUCACUGAUUGGCUUUAUAUCAAAGAAGAGUGAGAGCUAGUCUCAGCAGGAGAAGACACCAAGCCCACUGAGCUUCAGUGAGUGAUUGCUGGUAGCUCACUGUGUUGUGAUUUAGCAUGUCGUGUGGUUUUAGCAUGUAGAUUACAUGAUAAACAACAGGCUUCAGACUAGGCAGCCAACAUAAUGUAUAAAUUAAUUACCCAGGAUUCCGGGUGCUGAGAAAUCUAAUACCAGUCACUGGUGGACCUAACUGAGGGUAUAAUUAGUUCCUCACGAGUAGUUUUUGCCUUUUUCUUGCAUCUUCCCUGGGCUGGAGGAAUGAAGCAGCUCACUAGAGUCACUUUGAUGAAGAAUGCUAAAGCUCUUCAUGGUGGCUCUGCCCACACCAAAUAACCAGCUCCUCACAGCCCCAUCUGACAAUACACCAGUGCUGUGGUUACACCGCAUAAUGCAAAUUUUGACGAGAUUCACUACAAUGACAGGUUUUGUUCAUUGGUUCCUUUCUUUUACUGAGUUUGUAUUAUAUAUUACCUUCUAUAUUUUCUUUUACAAAUAUUUUAUUUUUACUAAGAGUAUGUGCUACAUAUUCCCCUUUUAAAAAUUAAUUAAAACAUCAUCUAGCUGUCUUGUGUGUGUGCAUGCACACACCUUGUGUUUGUACACCUGGUGUUAGGCUGUGUGUACCUGUGCACAUGUAUAGACCAGAGGAGAAUCCUGUAGCUUAUUCCUUUGGGGUAUUGUUUAACUGAAGCUGAAACUAGGUUAGCAUAAUAGCGGCACUCCUCUUGUCUCCAGCUCUCAAAGUCUGGGAUUCCAGCUGCACAUGUAUGAUCUUGCACAGCUUUUUAUAUGGGUGCUGGAGAUUUGAACUCAGGUUCCUAUGCUCAUACAACUAGCAAAUGCUCUUAUGCACUGAGCUAUCUCUCAUAACCCUAGUUGGAUCUAAUUUUUAUCCACUUGUAUAUUUUUACCAUUUUGGGGGUAUUGGUGUUCAUGUGUUCAUAUGUGUGUGUGUGUGUGUGUGUGUGUGCAUGUGUGCAUGCAAGCACAUUCAUGUGUGUAUGCAUAUCUGUACCUAUAUCUAUGUUAUUUGAUGCCAGGCAUCUUUUCUCUGUUCUCCACUAUAAUUUUUUGAGACAGCAUGUCUCAUUGAGCCUGACAUACCCUAAUUCAGUUGGGUUAGCAAGCUAAUGAACUUCAGGUGUCCUCCUGUCGGUGCCUCCCAGCAUUAAGAUGGCAGGAUGUGCCAUCAUGCAUAACUUAAAAAAAGAUCUAAACUCAAAUUUGGAUAGCUUGCAUAGUAAACACUUAAAUGACUGAGACCUUCUUCCUGAUAUCAUCCUUUCACACAUUUCACACCAUUUUAACUUCAUGUGUUUACUUAUAAAAGGUUUAUACAUGAAGAAUUUGUGUCAAGAAUGCCAUUCCACUGCAUGGUAAAAUAUAUGCACAUGUUUUCAUUCUCCAAGAACUUAAUCUUUUAAACUGCCUGAAAAGUGGAGGUCAGACCAAGAAUCUAAACAGCUUCUACAGACAGAUUUCCAUAUUUAAUAUAUCAUAUAUAUUGUGAGAGAUACAUAAAAAUAAUGAGAAAUCACUUAAUAUAGUGGGCAAUUUAUUGAAAGGAAGUGCUGUCCAUAUAUGAGUUAUUCACAUCAUGUGACUUUUUCUUUAUAUUCUCAUAAGCCUUGAGCUUACUACAGUGGCAACAAGAAGUGGCCAUGAAAUUUGUUCAGUAUUGUAGCUAUACAUCUUAUCAUUGUUUACAUUCUUGCCUUUUGCUCAGACUGUGACAUCACUCAAGUUUUGUUAACUUAAAAUGAAAAGAGAAUCUGUGUGUCUUUAUAGUAGUAAAUGCUAACUAUUUAACAGUGACCCAUGCACUCGUGAUACACAUUUCUAGUUAUGUGUCCCAUCAGUAAAUGGGGUUUCAAAUAGUCUCAUGAGACUGCACAGAUCUAUUUGUGUUGCUCAAAGGUGAUCUCAUUAGGGUGCUGUUGGUCAUGCUAUCUGAUGUCUGCGAGUUGGUAUCUCUACAAGGGAAGUUUGGUUAAAAUUAUCUUUCAUGUUGCACCUAUUUUUCCUCAUUUUAUUAUUGGUGCAUGUUGUUUAUACAUAGUUUGAUUCUUCCAUUUAUUGUUUCUAUAACUUGUUUGGUAUACUAACACAGAACUUAUCUUUGCUAUACAUUAGAUGCAUCCUCCUAUAGUUCAUUCUUGAUGACUGAAGCAAGACCUUUCUAUUAACUAUGGUCCUGUGAAUUAUGACUCAUUCAACCUGACUUAUGGGAAGGGACAUACUCUUCCUGGCACUUUAAUUGUGUCAAAUAUUGAAUCUUUCAGCUCCAGGUCAUUUCCUGGAAUGUCUGAGUUGAUGGGUGCUCUGCAGUAUGUCCAAGAUUGCAUCUCUAGAUCUCAGAGCAUCCAUUCCCCCCUUUUCAGUUCCUUCCUCUCUUGAGUUCUGUCCUGUGAUUUUGAUCUGCCUUGUUUCACCAAAUAACACCUCAGCUCCAGGAGUCUAGUAGAGUCUGAACAACUGUAUCCACUUCAUCUCCUAACAAAGCCUGAGCUAUCUUGUAGCAGGGUGAUAGAAAAUUAGUGUAAUAGAAUGUAACUAUGUUCAUGCCUAAUAGGGACAAUUUUCUUCCUUGUCAGAAGUACUCCAGUCUUUAAAACAUAUUUUUUCCUGAUUUGAGUUGUGUUAUUUCAGGUUGGUGUCAAAACAAGUACCUGUUAUUCAAACUUUGUCAGAACUGGAAGGCGGUAGCACCUGGGCAACUGCUGUAGAUUAUGUACAAUGUCCUCUCCACACUGGUCACCUAUUUCUUGUUCAUGUGUCAUGCCUAUGCAUCUCUUCCAUUAGGAUGUCAAAACUUGAUUUCAUUUCAGUGUCAUCUGAAUUUUUAAUGUUUGUGUUCAUGUCUGUCUUUCCCAUUAGUUUUUAGGCUAAAGUACCAUAAUUUCCCCAGCCCAAUCACAGUUUUCCCUCCAUCCUGCCUCUCUUCCCAGUCCGUACAACUUACCCUCCCCUCUCCCCACACCAUCUGCUCCUACUCCUUUCUCUUCAGAAAGGGCCGGUCUCCCAUGGGUAUCAGUCAGUCAUGUUAUAUCAAUAUGCAGUAAGACUAGGCAACUCCCCUGCUGAGGCUGGAUGAGGCAUCCCAGUAGAAGAAAAGGGUCCAAAAACAGGUAAGAGAGUCAGUGAAAGGCCCUGCUCCCACUGUUAGGAGACCAAAAAGAAGACCAUGACACACCCUGUAACAUAUGUGCAGUGGGCCUAGUUGAGUCGUAUGCAAGCUCUCUGGUUAGUGGAUCAGUCUCUGUGAGCCCCCAUGAGCCCAUGUUUGUUGAUGCUGUGACUUUCUUGUCAUGUUCUUUGUUCCUCUGGCUCUUAAAAUCCUUCCUCAUCCUCUUCAACCCUGCUGAAUACAUACAUAUAAUUAAAAAGAAAAAAGUCUUUAAAAGACAGUGAGGAAAUGAUCAUUGUUUUAUGCAAAAAUUAAGAAAUAGAAGCAGCACAGUAAAGAACAAAAUACUGAGCAAGGUGAAGUCUGUUCUUUGGGUUUGCCUUCUGGUUUGUUUUAAGACAGUAAUCAUGAGCUCUAGACCUGCUGUAAGAUUUCUCUUUAAUGCACUUUGGACUUGAAUUUGUAAUUCUACUGCGGCAACCUUUCAAGUGUUGUGGUUAUAGGUAUGUCCCAUCAUGUUUCACAAUAGAUGUUUAAGUAUUAAGGCAUGAGAACUGCUUUUAAUUGACUAACGAAUGUUGAUUUCACAGCAUUAUAUUUUCAGAUCAGUAUUUGAGAUGCCUCCCACAGUCUUGUCCUUUAUCUCCUGCUUAAACCAAGAGAUCCUCAAUGCAUUAUGUUACAUGAUCAUUGCCAGCUGAUCAGUACUUAGACAGUAACCUAUAAAUUAUAAUAAAUAUACAAAAUGGUUUGGUUAAUGGAGUUAGUGAAUAUCCAAGAAGUACAGAGGCGUGUUCUGGGCUUCAUGUUGUCAUGUGUUGCCACUUUCAGUAGUAUGAUAAAUGACUCAGUGCAACUUCCACAAAGAUCUCAUCCACUGGUACACCAGCUAAAAGAUGAUCAGGCACAAUCACACUAACACAAACCGCAAUUAUUUAAUGAGGUCCACUUUGUGAUAUAUAUUUUCUUAGUGUUUUAAUGUAGAGUUGCUAAUUUUAUCUUCUUAAUAUUCCACUUAGAAGCUUCAUGUCCAUUUUGCAGAUGAAAAAGUAAGACCAGAAAUGUUAACUUGUCUGAGCUGAGUACAUAAUAUAUGUUUAAAUCAUAGUUGGUGAGCUGGUGCUUUGGAUAUAGAAAUAAAGGUCACUGUAGCCAAUCUCCCCUGUUGCAAAUUUUAUCAGUUUGAGUGUUUGGUAAUUUCUAAAAACAACACCAUGUACUACAGACCUUGCAGACAGGUCCAUAAAUAAACAUUUUUGAAAUUAUAUAGGUAUUGUGACACUAGGCAUUGUGGACAAUGACAUCCCUAUUGCAGUUGCUGAGAUGACUUUAUAGGUGUAGCUUAUCAUAGUCAUAGCAACAUGCAAAAGAAGAAGAGCUAGUUGUGUUCUAUGUAAUUAAACUUCAGCAUGAUGUUUAGGUGGACAUUGUGAUGCAGAAUAUUUUUGGGAGGCCCUGGUGGUCAGAGGUUGCAGUCUACCAUGGCUUAGCAGCUUUCUCAGAGAUUGGCAACAUGAAGGAACUCCCCCAUCCCAGUGAGGCUUUGUGCUCUCUACCUGCCUUUAUUUGCAGAAGAUCUCUAGGCCUGGAGGAGGCCUGGCCUUACCUGAAAACUGUUCCUAAGCCUGGGUGCCUGAUUUAUCUCUAGUGUGAUCCUUGGCAUAGAUCACUGCUGGAGCUCCCCGCUGCUGCAAAUAUAUUAAUUAGACAUUGUGCUAGGAGCUUUAUGACAGGACCAUUCUUCCACAGAAGGUAAUUAAGACUUGUACUAGGAACUUUAUGAUAGGAGCCUGCUGUUUAAUGCAAGUUAGAUGAUUCCCCAGCUGCCAAAGCUGAGCUGACUCACUGAAGCUGUCUCAUGGAGAGCUGUCUCUGCAGACCCUCAGGCAGUCUGACCCUGCUCACUUUCUGUAGUUGCAGUUUCUGGUUCUGCUUUGUCCCACAAUGGUUUAGUCCUAAAUAAACACACAGAGGCUUCUAUUAAUUAUAAACUCUUCAGCCGAUGGCUCAACCUUCUUACUGGCUAGCUCUCUCUUAAUUAUUAACCCAUUAACUAUUAAGGUGUGUAUUUUUACGUGGCCUUAUCUUAACAUAGAACUCCUGGCAUGUUCUAUCUUCCCAGUGUCUACACAGUGUCUCUGUGUAGCUACUCUCUCUGCCUUCUCCCCAGAAUCCUUCUCAUCUGGUACCCCCACCCAUGCUGCCUGCCUGGCUACUGGCCAAUCCAUGAUUCAUUCACCAACUAAUAAGAGAAACAUUUAUACAGAAGGUCAUCCCCCACCAACUUUUUUCUUCCCCCACCUCAUGGAUCGGUGGCUGAUGAUCACCUAAGAGACUAACAGAAUAUAAUGUUAUUUUCCUAGUUCUUUAAAAAAGACUGUAGGUUGUUCAUAGGUUACAAGAGAUUUCAGUCAAUCAUGUAGCACAAGGCAGUUUAGUAGCUCUGUCUGUGGCUUUCUCAUAAAACAAUAGACAGGAAGCAGGAAGAAGAAAUUGGAUCCAGGGGCAGCAAAUACCUUAAAGGCCUGCCAUUUUGAUUGAGUCCCACCAACCAGGCCCACCUUCUAAAUGCUGCAUAGCAUUCAAAACAGUCUUAAAAUCUAUGGAGCAAAGCUUCAAAACAUAAGAAUGUGAUGACUACUUCAGAUUCAAACCAUAGCAUUUUACCGCUGACCUCCAAAGGCUCAUGGUCAUCACAUAAUACAGACUUUACUUAGUCGAGCUUCAAAGGCCAGUUAAUGUGAACAGUGUUCACAUUGUUCCAAAAUCCAAAGGUUUUUUCUGAAGCUUGAGUCAAAUUCUUAGCUUUAAGUCUUUGUAAACUGGAAAGGUUACACAAGUUUUAUGGCUAUUUCAUAAUGCACAACAAAAGACAAAGACAGGAAAAUAUUACUGAAGAUUGUUCCCAGAGAAGAUGGAAACCCCACAGGACAAAUAUUAAAACCUAAAGUUACAUAUGCAGCAUCUAGGGUACAUGGUGAUCUCAUCUGAUAAUUGGCAGAUUUAGGCAGCACUGGCUCUUGUCAUGUUGGUAGCAUGCAGGGUCUGUUUCGUGCUAUAGUUCUCUUAACUUCCUGGUACUUCUCUCAUUAAAUAUGUCCUAUUACUGAUUUCUGCAAUGUUAUAUCAUUACACUUAUUUCGACAUAAUGUUCCUUUUCUUCGCUUUAUAGAUAUCCUCAGAGGAUAUAUGAGGGACCGAUCCAUUCACUUAUCCCAGUAGAUGACAGAUGGGGUGGAUGCUGGGGUGAGCCAACUCAUAUUCCUGGUUCUGGACCUGGGUAGUUCCAGGGUUGGUCAGAGUGCUAGCUCUCCAUUAUCCUCACCACCAUGGUGAUCUCCCUGUGUUGUCCUGGAAAGUUCACCCCUUGCAGUGAUGAGCAAAGGACAUGACCAGUUCUCCUACUUUCAAGUACACUGUGUCAGAUCUCCCACACCCACACCUGCAGCAGCUGCUCUACCAUGUAGUCCAGGUGUGGAAUAGGGGCCUGUCUCUGGAGUGCUGCCACUGAUGAGAGGCAGGACCUUCUCUACUGGGGAAUUAAUGGGCUCAGUAUAUGGGGUUUGAGGCAGAAGUAAAGGGUAUUUCUACUUUGCUCAAGCCUUCGUUUUAUAGUCGACUUACAGGGACAUUUCUCCCAUGCUGACAGACACAGAGAUGGCUCUGCCAAGAAUUGGCUUAAUUUCACUGCCCAGUGGAGGUACAGUAUGUCCCCUGCAUAGUUUUUCAG